rnacentral:rRNA from 1 species
UGAGGAAUAUUGGUCAAUGGUCGAGAGACUGAACCAGCCAAGUCGCGUGAAGGAUGACUGCCCUAUGGGUUGUAAACUUCUUUUACAAGGGAAUAAAAUGAGAUACGUGUAUUUUAUUGCAUGUACCUUGUGAAUAAGCAUCGGCUAACUCCGUGCCAGCAGCCGCGGUAAUACGGAGGAUGCGAGCGUUAUCCGGAUUUAUUGGGUUUAAAGGGUGCGUAGGUGGGCUGUUAAGUCAGCGGUGAAAGUUUGUCGCUUAACGAUAAAAUUGCCGUUGAAACUGGUAGUCUUGAGUAUAGAUGAAGUAGGCGGAAUGCGUGGUGAAGCGGUGAAAUGCAUAGAGAUCACGCAGAACUCCGAUUGCGAAGGCAGCUUACUAAGGUAUAACUGACACUGAAGCACGAAAGCGUGGGUAUCAAACAGG